rnacentral:lncRNA from 1 species
UUAGAAAUAAAUCCGCUAACUCGUUAAGUUGGGGUUAAAAAAACACAAAAUCAAGAGCUGGCUCAGAACCUCGUUUUCCACACAUCUACGACAAAAUCGAUUUCAUUCAUUUCCAUAGCAUCUCGGAAACAGUGAACAGGUCGCAGAGAUCUGAAGUGAUGAGGGAUAUCAGCGGACUUGCUGGCAGUUCAUGACGGCACCAACGAUCGGAGGCGAAAAAAAGUACCAUCUCCACCGUUUCUUCGAAAUCUUG